UACGUAGGAUGCAAGCGUUGUCCGGAAUUACUGGGCGUAAAGGGCGCGCAGGCGGUCAGACAAGUCUGCUGUGAAAUCUCUGGGCUUAACCUGGAGGGGUCGGUGGAAACUGUCGGACUAGAGUGCAGGAGAGGUUCGUGGAAUUCCCGGCGUAGCGGUGAAAUGCGUAGAUAUCGGGAGGAACACCUGUGGCGAAAGCGGCGCACUGGACCACAACUGACGCUGAGGCACGAAAGCUAGGGGAGCAAACAGG
rnacentral:rRNA from 1 species